rnacentral:rRNA from 1 species
GUCUUUUUGAAUAUAAUUUAAAGUCUAACCUGCCCAAUGAAAAUUUAAAUGGCCGCAGUAUUUUGACUGUGCAAAGGUAGCAUAAUCAUUAGUUUUUUAAUUGAAAGCUGGAAUGAAAGGUUUGAUAAGAAAAUAACUGUCUCUAUAUUAAAAUUAUUAGAAUUUUAUUUUUAAGUAAAAAAGCUUAAAUAAUAUUAAAAGACGAGAAGACCCUAUAGAAUUUAAUAAUUUUAUAUUAAUUUAAUAAAAGUUUAAUAGUUUGAUUUAAAAAUAAAAUUAUUUUAUUGGGGUGAUAGAAAAAUUUAAUGAACUUUUUUUAUUUAAAAACAUAGAUUAAUGAUUAAUUGAUCCAUAAAUUAUGAUUAUAAGAAUAAAUUACCUUAGGGAUAACAGCGUAAUUUUUUUUAAAAGUUCAUAUUAAAAGAAAAGAUUGCGACCUCGAUGUUGGAUUAAAAUUUAAAUUUGGUGUAGAAGCUAAAUUAUUAAGUCUGUUCGACUUUUAAAAUUUUACA